CAUUACCGAGUUUACAACUCCCAAACCCAAUGUGAACCAUACCAAACUGUUGCCUCGGCGGGGUCACGCCCCGGGUGCGUCGCAGCCCCGGAACCAGGCGCCCGCCGGAGGGACCAACCAAACUCUUUCUGUAGUCCCCUCGCGGACGUUAUUUCUUACAGCUCUGAGCAAAAAUUCAAAAUGAAUCAAAACUUUCAACAACGGAUCUCUUGGUUCUGGCAUCGAUGAAGAACGCAGCGAAAUGCGAUAAGUAAUGUGAAUUGCAGAAUUCAGUGAAUCAUCGAAUCUUUGAACGCACAUUGCGCCCGCCAGUAUUCUGGCGGGCAUGCCUGUCCGAGCGUCAUUUCAACCCUCGAACCCCUCCGGGGGUCCGGCGUUGGGGAUCGGGAACCCCUAAGACGGGAUCCCGGCCCCGAAAUACAGUGGCGGUCUCGCCGCAGCCUCUCAUGCGCAGUAGUUUGCACAACUCGCACCGGGAGCGCGGCGCGUCCACGUCCGUAAAACACCCAACUUCUGAAAUGUUGACCUCGGAUCAGGUAGGAAUACCCGCUGAACUUAAGCAUAUCAA
rnacentral:rRNA from 1 species